UGGUCUGUUGGAGUUACACCCAAACGCCACACAUGCAGACUGUUUCAUUUCCUGCGUGUUUGUGCGGCUGGCAUUCUUUGUCACUUUGGUUGUUCUUUUUUGUUUCCCCCUUUGUGACGUGGUUUUUAGACGUUACGAUGGUUAUAAUGUCACUGACAUGGUCUCCCCUGCUAGCUACCUGAUUAUUCCAGACCACUUCCUCAAACUUCAAGUCUUCCCUGUGUCCUCUUGUGCUCCCAGGCUUUUAGCAGAUUACAGGUAGAGAAGAGUGGGAUAAGUUGAGCCACGGGACAGGACUCCAUGAAAUGAUGACCUAUUCCUAAAUAUUUGGUCAAAUUAUUCAUUUACCCCACUCUCCGCUUAAUGGGAUGUCCCUCCCCUGGAGCCUCUGUCACUGAAAUAUGGAUGUCGUUUGAAGUACUGUAGCUGGCCCCAACACAGCCGACACAGAGAUCAUGCACGUAGUGAGUUUUUCAUUCGGCACUACUUUGCAGUUGCCAGGCAGGGUUUUUCAAGCCCGGCCCUGGGGACUAGAUGAUGACUAAUGGGACCGUGUUAAAGUGACCAGAAGAGGCAGCUGGCGAGGAUGAGAAGUAGUCAGGCCCUACACAUUAUCAGCCAAUCUGUCCUGAGCCAGACUAGGCGGGGG
rnacentral:lncRNA from 1 species